rnacentral:lncRNA from 1 species
CAUCCCGCGGCGGCUGCGGUUGCCUGGGCUCGCCGGGAGCCUGGGGCUGGGGCCUCGGGCGCUGCGAGGGCGGACGGUACUGCCCAGCUUGCAUUGCACCAAAGGGUACCCGGGGGACCUCAAUACCACUUCCAGUAGAGAUUCAGGGCAGGAAAAUGUACCCGCCUUAGAAGCCUUUCUCAGUUAUAUUUUACAAGAUAGAAAGAAUGCAAAUACCCACAGCCUUGCUAAACUGGAUCGAGUCUCCUGGUACUUUUAAGAUGAACGUCUCAAUAGCCUCUGUCAUCACUGCUGCAGCGUCUUGGGGAAUAAGGACAGGACAGCGGGACUGGGGUUGACUCAGACAUACCAACCAAGGCUCCCCAUAUCCCUGCGGCGCCACCGCUGAGCACCUGCCAGCCCCCUUCCCCAUGUUUACUGAUGCUAUCACUCCUGAAAGCAAGUUAUGCGUGGCAAGCGGCUCCCAAAGAGCUGAUGGAAAAUCGGAAACUGGACAGAAGAAGGAGGAGGAGCCUGAAAGCAAUGCUCGGUGUGCCCUGUGUGAGUUACUCAGGCGUCGGAGAGAAACGGAAGCACAUGAGAAAAAGUGAGGCACAGCCCAGAGAACUUGCGGAGACCACAAAGCAAUCUAUAAUCUUCAAGUCUGGUCUCCACAUAGAAUAACAGGUUUCUUCUCCAUUCUAGUAAGAUGCAACAGAUGAUUGAAAACCUUCACGUAUAACUUGGUCAUGCAAUUUUAAAACAUGCUUUCUCCAAGGCAAAGGCUGACUGGCUCAGUGAAGAGAGCAGCCCCCAUCUUCCCAAAAUCUGACUGAAGCUAAAAAUGACAUAAAUCACAUAGAACUAUAAUUUGCAAAUUCACUGUGUGAAGUAAUUAAUUAAAGUAUGGCUGAGUUUUAGGAGUUGGGACUUUGAUCUGACACGUGGAAAGAAAUAUAGUGAAACUAGUCGGGAUCAGGCUGUAACUUUAGGGCUUAAAUGGUUUUCUAUGCUAGUCACAAGUUUAAUUACUUCUUUUUUUUCCCACUGACAGUCCCAAAUUAAAAUAAAUGGACCACAUCGAGACA